CAUCGUGAGGUGGAAUCUGAAGGAAGGUGCAGGCAAAUCUCUGGCCUGACGAACAGGAACCGUAUCAGGCUGACGGAUGUGGAUAAGGCUGCCGUACAAGCCGAAGUCCCAUAGCUACUCGGAACAUCCGGAAGUAAAUACGGCAGGCACUUGGAGAGAAAGA
rnacentral:ncRNA from 1 species